rnacentral:rRNA from 1 species
CUUACCAUGCAAGUCGACGGUGAACACGGAGCUUGCUCUGUGGGAUCAGUGGCGAACGGGUGAGUAACACGUGAGCAACCUGCCCCUGACUCUGGGAUAAGCGCUGGAAACGGCGUCUAAUACUGGAUAUGUGACGUGAUCGCAUGGUCUGCGUCUGGAAAGAAUUUCGGUUGGGGAUGGGCUCGCGGCCUAUCAGCUUGUUGGUGAGGUAAUGGCUCACCAAGGCGUCGACGGGUAGCCGGCCUGAGAGGGUGACCGGCCACACUGGGACUGAGACACGGCCCAGACUCCUACGGGAGGCAGCAGUGGGGAAUAUUGCACAAUGGGCGCAAGCCUGAUGCAGCAACGCCGCGUGAGGGACGACGGCCUUCGGGUUGUAAACCUCUUUUAGCAGGGAAGAAGCGAAAGUGACGGUACCUGCAGAAAAAGCGCCGGCUAACUACGUGCCAGCAGCCGCGGUAAUACGUAGGGCGCAAGCGUUAUCCGGAAUUAUUGGGCGUAAAGAGCUCGUAGGCGGUUUGUCGCGUCUGCUGUGAAAUCCGGAGGCUCAACCUCCGGCCUGCAGUGGGUACGGGCAGACUAGAGUGCGGUAGGGGAGAUUGGAAUUCCUGGUGUAGCGGUGGAAUGCGCAGAUAUCAGGAGGAACACCGAUGGCGAAGGCAGAUCUCUGGGCCGUAACUGACGCUGAGGAGCGAAAGGGUGGGGAGCAAACAGGCUUAGAUACCCUGGUAGUCCACCCCGUAAACGUUGGGAACUAGUUGUGGGGUCCAUUCCACGGAUU